UACAGAGGUGUCAAACGUUGUCCGGAAUUAUUGGGCGUAAAGGGCGCGUAGGCGGCCGGGUAAGUGAGAUGUGAAAGCUCUGGGCUCAACCCAGGAAUUGCAUUUCAUACUGCUCGGCUCGAGAUUGGUAGAGGAUGGCGGAAUUCCAGGUGUAGCGGUGAAAUGCGCAGAUAUCAGGAAGAACACCCGUGGCGAAGGCGGCUCUCUGGAACGCAACUGACGCUGAGACGCGAAAGCGUGGGGAGCAAACAGG
rnacentral:rRNA from 1 species